rnacentral:rRNA from 1 species
UCCCUAAAUAGGGACUAGUAUGAACGGCUAAAUGAGGACCUUACUGUCUCUUGCCGCCAGUCAAUGAAACUGAUCUCCCAGUCCAAAAGCUGGGAUAACACCAUAAGACAAAAAGACCCUGUGGAGCUUUAAAACCAAAACCAUUAAUAAUUGUCCACUUGGUUUUUAGUUGGGGCGACUUCGGAGAAAAAACAAACCUCCGAAACAAUGGACCUCACCAUAUCAAGGCCAACACGCCAAAAUAGCCAAAACUUGACCCAGAUCUUAAUUUCUGACCAAUGAACCAAGUUACCCCAGGGAUAACAGCGCCAUCUUCUUUUAGAGUCCAUAUCGACAAGAAGGUUUACGACCUCGAUGUUGGAUCAGGACACCCCAAUAGUGCAGCCGCUAUUAAAGGUUCG